rnacentral:rRNA from 1 species
GACGAACGCUGGCGGCGUGCUUAACACAUGCAAGUCGAGCGGUAAGGCCCUUUCGGGGGUACACGAGCGGCGAACGGGUGAGUAACACGUGGGUGACCUGCCUUUAGCUCUGGGAUAAGCCCGGGAAACUGGGUCUAAUACCGGAUACGACUCCGCGGUGCAUGCUGUGGGGUGGAAAGCCUUGUGCGGCUGGAGAUGGGCCCGCGGCCUAUCAGCUUGUUGGUGGGGUGAUGGCCUACCAAGGCGACGACGGGUAGCCGGCCUGAGAGGGCGACCGGCCACACUGGGACUGAGACACGGCCCAGACUCCUACGGGAGGCAGCAGUGGGGAAUCUUGCGCAAUGGGCGAAAGCCUGACGCAGCGACGCCGCGUGAGGGAUGACGGCCU